rnacentral:rRNA from 1 species
AAAGUGAAUAGUGAAAUCUGGGGGCUCAACCUCACAGGCUAUUAUUCAAACUCACAAGCUCGAGAGCAGCAGAGGUAACUGGAAUUUCUGAAGUAGGGGUAAUAUCCGUAGAUAUCAGAAGGAACACCAAUGGCGUAGGCAGGUUACUGGGCUGUUUCUGACACUGAGGCACGAAAGCGUGGGAGCGAACCGGAUUAGAUACCCGGGUAGUCCACGCCGUAAACGAUGGAUACUA